rnacentral:rRNA from 1 species
AGUUUACUAUUCUGCUGACGAGCGGCGGACGGGUGAGUAAUGCCUAGGAAUCUGCCUAGUAGUGGGGGAUAACUUGCCGAAAGGUAAGCUAAUACCGCAUACGUCCUACGGGAGAAAGGAGGGGACCUUCGGGCCUUUCGCUAUUAGAUGAGCCUAGGUCGGAUUAGUUAGUUGGUGAGGUAAUGGCUCACCAAGACCGCGAUCCGUAACUGGUCUGAGAGGAUGAUCAGUCACACUGGAACUGAGACACGGUCCAGACUCCUACGGGAGGCAGCAGUGGGGAAUAUUGGACAAUGGGGGGAACCCUGAUCCAGCCAUGCCGCGUGUGUGAAGAAGGUCUUAGGAUUGUAAAGCACUUUAAGUUGGGAGGAAGAGCAGUUAACUAAUAUUUGACUGUUUUGACGUUACCGACAGAAUAAGCACCGGCUAACUUCGUGCCAGCAGCCGCGGUAAUACGAAGGGUGCAAGCGUUAAUCGGAAUUACUGGGCGUAAAGCGCGCGUAGGUGGUUCAGUAAGUUAGGAGUGAAAGCCCCGGGCUUAACCUGGGAAUUGCUUCUAAAACUGCUGAGCUAGAGUACGGUAGAGGGUGGUGGAAUUUC